UGGUCGAGUCGGCCUGCGCGGAAGAUGUAACGGGGCUAAACCAUGCACCGAAGCUGCGGCAGCGACGCUGAUGCGUUGUUGGGUAGGGGAGCGUUCUGUAAGCCUGCGAAGGUGUGCUGUGAGGCAUGCUGGAGGUAUCAGAAGUGCGAAUGCUGACAUAAGUAACGAUAAAGCGGGUGAAAAGCCCGCUCGCCGGAAGACCAAGGGUUCCUGUCCAACGUUAAUCGGGGCAGGGUGAGUCGACCCCUAAGGCGAGGCCGAAAGGCGUAGUCGAUGGGAAACAGGUUAAUAUUCCUGUACUUGGUGUUACUGCGAAGGGGGGACGGAGAAGGCUAUGUUGGCCGGGCGACGGUUGUCCCGGUUUAAGCGUGUAGGCUGGUUUUCCAGGCAAAUCCGGAAAAUCAAGGCUGAGGCGUGAUGACGAGGCACUACGGUGCUGAAGCAACAAAUGCCCUGCUUCCAGGAAAAGCCUCUAAGCAUCAGGUAACAUCAAAUCGUACCCCAAACCGACACAGGUGGUCAGGUAGAGAAUACCAAGGCGCUUGAGAGAACUCGGGUGAAGGAACUAGGCAAAAUGGUGCCGUAACUUCGGGAGAAGGCACGCUGAUAUGUAGGUGAAGUCCCUCGCGGAUGGAGCUGAAAUCAGUCGAAGAUACCAGCUGGCUGCAACUGUUUAUUAAAAACACAGCACUGUGCAAACACGAAAGUGGACGUAUACGGUGUGACGCCUGCCCGGUGCCGGAAGGUUAAUUGAUGGGGUCAGCGCAAGCGAAGCUCUUGAUCGAAGCCCCGGUAAACGGCGGCCGUAACUAUAACGGUCCUAAGGUAGCGAAAUUCCUUGUCGGGUAAGUUCCGACCUGCACGAAUGGCGUAAUGAUGGCCAGGCUGUCUCCACCCGAGACUCAGUGAAAUUGAACUCGCUGUGAAGAUGCAGUGUACCCGCGGCAAGACGGAAAGACCCCGUGAACCUUUACUAUAGCUUGACACUGAACAUUGAGCCUUGAUGUGUAGGAUAGGUGGGAGGCUUAGAAGUGUGGACGCCAGUCUGCAUGGAGCCGACCUUGAAAUACCACCCUUUAAUGUUUGAUGUUCUAACGUUGACCCGUAAUCCGGGUUGCGGACAGUGUCUGGUGGGUAGUUUGACUGGGGCGGUCUCCUCCUAAAGAGUAACGGAGGAGCACGAAGGUUGGCUAAUCCUGGUCGGACAUCAGGAGGUUAGUGCAAUGGCAUAAGCCAGCUUGACUGCGAGCGUGACGGCGCGAGCAGGUGCGAAAGCAGGUCAUAGUGAUCCGGUGGUUCUGAAUGGAAGGGCCAUCGCUCAACGGAUAAAAGGUACUCCGGGGAUAACAGGCUGAUACCGCCCAAGAGUUCAUAUCGACGGCGGUGUUUGGCACCUCGAUGUCGGCUCAUCACAUCCUGGGGCUGAAGUAGGUCCCAAGGGUAUGGCUGUUCGCCAUUUAAAGUGGUACGCGAGCUGGGUUUAGAACGUCGUGAGACAGUUCGGUCCCUAUCUGCCGUGGGCGCUGGAGAACUGAGGGGGGCUGCUCCUAGUACGAGAGGACCGGAGUGGACGCAUCACUGGUGUUCGGGUUGUCAUGCCAAUGGCACUGCCCGGUAGCUAAAUGCGGAAGAGAUAAGUGCUGAAAGCAUCUAAGCACGAAACUUGCCCCGAGAUGAGUUCUCCCUGACUCCUUGAGAGUCCUGAAGGAACGUUGAAGACGACGACGUUGAUAGGCCAGGUGUGUAAGCGCAGCGAUGCGUUGAGCUAACCGGUACUAAUGAACCGUGAGGCUUAACCUU
rnacentral:rRNA from 1 species